AACAUGCGACCUGGGCACUGUGGGCCGCUUCACACUCUUUGUGUCAGUUUCAAUUGGUGUUGUUUUCAUUUAUGGCGGUUUGUUUACAUUUCGUUGCGGUUAUCAUCAGGUUUCCGUGGUUCGAUAUUCGGUCGAGCUUUCUUUUCGUCAACCUCAUUGUGACGAUCGUGGUGCUCGGUGGACUGUUGGCAACGAUCGAAAAGCAUCUCCCCACUGCCAUCCGGCAGACGUUUGCUGCCCUCUGGUCGGUGGCCGGAUUUGUCGUCAUGAUGUAGCCAGCGCGGGACUACGUAAUCGCCUUCCUCGAUACGUUGGCAACCAACAAGCAUAUGGUGCGCACCACACCUACCGAGACGAUGGUUGCCAUGACGCUGAUCACGCUGCAGUGUUUGCGCCGGUUCCACAAGACCUGGUUCGUGCAGGUGUUCUCGAGCAAGCUGAAAAUCACCCACCAGUGGUACGUGGAACACUUUCACAACUAUCCGAAGCAAGCUCGUCAGGAAAGCACUCGUCCCGUUCGUUCUGUGAGAUCGACGGUGAGGGUGCGGAUAAUAUCGUUCCGGUUGUUGGGCUUUUUUGAGGAUCGAAAAAAUGGUAUGGUUUGUGUCCGGCUUUUUUUUAGGUUGCUGGUUCCCGGCUGAUGGGAUUCAGCUGGUUUUCCUGGAUCGUCUGUGAAUGCCUUGUUCCACGGACCGGUCGUCGAUGCACUCGAGGUGCACCGCAUUGACGAGCGGCAGUAGCAGGAUUCAAUCGGCGCGGCCGAGCUGGCAGCGAAGCCGUUUCUCGGUGAGCCAUUCACGCCGAAUGAGGGCGGUCAAGAGCCGGCUGCAUACGUUCGAUUCGUUCGAUUCGAUAUUCGUUACGCGCACGAUUAAACUGUGUAACGAUGCCGAGUGUGUCCGGCCAUCGCGACUAGCAGCACAGCGGAAGUUAAGUUGCGUCGUCUAUUGUGACACCUUUUCAUCAACAACUGGCAUGACUAUCGGCGCACGGUCGGUGGCUCUAGCGAAGGGGAGGGUGCGUUCCAAUCGGCUGGCAGGACACAGAUCGGAUCGGUUAGGACAGCGAGUUAUAGUUACGUGCACCAUAGUGACACGCUCACCUCACCGCUUGAAUUGACCAUUGAUCCGCUGAACCAGCGGAGAACAUCGGACGAUCGCGACCAAGAAGAAAUGUUAAUUAUUACUCAAAGUGCGUGCUUCCUCACGAGUAUACGUAAAUUAUUAUUUUUUUACCCAAAUGGUGUUGCUCAACAAACACAUAAUUAUAUGUUUCAAUAGUCCAUGACUAUAUUAGCACAAUAAAAUCUUAUAUCUAAUUAAACCAAA